rnacentral:rRNA from 1 species
AGUGAGCGGCAAAAGCUCAAAUUUGAAAUCUGGGCGCCUUCGGUGUCCSAGUUGUAAUUUGAAGAUUGUAACCUUGGGGUUGGCUCUUGUCUAUGUUUCUUGGAACAGGACGUCACAGAGGGUGAGAAUCCCGUGCGAUGAGAUGCCCAAUUCUAUGUAAGGUGCUUUCGAAGAGUCGAGUUGUUUGGGAAUGCAGCUCUAAGUGGGUGGUAAAUUCCAUCUAAAGCUAAAUAUUGGCGAGAGACCGAUAGCGAACAAGUACAGUGAUGGAAAGAUGAAAAGAACUUUGAAAAGAGAGUGAAAAAGUACGUGAAAUUGUUGAAAGGGAAGGGUUUGAGAUCAGACUCGAUAUUUUGUGAGCCUUGCCUUCGUGGCGGGGUGACCCGCAGCUUAUCGGGCCAGCAUCGGUUUGGGCGGUAGGAUAAUGGCGUAGGAAUGUGACUUUACUUCGGUGAAGUGUUAUAGCCUGCGUUGAUGCUGCCUGCCUAGACCGAGGACUGCGAUUUUAUCAAGGAUGCUGGCAUAAUGAUCCCAAACCG